UUAUAAGAGACAGCAGCCGCCGCGGGAAUACAGAGGGUGCGAGCGUUAAUCGGAUUUACUGGGCGUAAAGCGUGCGUAGGCGGCUUCUUAAGUCGGAUGUGAAAUCCCUGAGCUUAACUUAGGAAUUGCAUUCGAUACUGGGAAGCUAGAGUAUGGGAGAGGAUGGUAGAAUUCCAGGUGUAGCGGUGAAAUGCGUAGAGAUCUGGAGGAAUACCGAUGGCGAAGGCAGCCAUCUGGCCUAAUACUGACGCUGAGGUACGAAAGCAUGGGGAGCAAACAGGAUUAGAUACCCCCGUAGUCCCUGUCUCUUAUAC
rnacentral:rRNA from 1 species